rnacentral:rRNA from 1 species
GGGACACGUGGUAUCCUGUCUGAAUAUGGGGGGACCAUCCUCCAAGGCUAAAUACUCCUGACUGACCGAUAGUGAACCAGUACCGUGAGGGAAAGGCGAAAAGAACCCCGGCGAGGGGAGUGAAAAAGAACCUGAAACCGUGUACGUACAAGCAGUGGGAGCACCUUCGGGUGUGACUGCGUACCUUUUGUAUAAUGGGUCAGCGACUUAUAUUCUGUAGCAAGGUUAACCGUAUAGGGGAGCCGCAGGGAAACCGAGUCUUAACUGGGCGUUAAGUUGCAGGGUAUAGACCCGAAACCCGGUGAUCUAGCCAUGGGCAGGUUGAAGGUUGGGUAACACUAACUGGAGGACCGAACCGACUAAUGUUGAAAAAUUAGCGGAUGACUUGUGGCUGGGGGUGAAAGGCCAAUCAAACCGGGAGAUAGCUGGUUCUCCCCGAAAGCUAUUUAGGUAGCGCCUCGUGAAUUCAUCUUCGGGGGUAGAGCACUGUUUCGGCUAGGGGGUCAUCCCGACUUACCAACCCGAUGCAAACUACGAAUACCGAAGAAUGUUAUCACGGGAGACACACGGCGGGUGC